ACGAAAUACUUGAACAUCACCAUAGCAGUGAGGAUCUUAUUCAGGAUUUUUCAAGAACUACACCGUACACCGAGGAGGAGAUAAAUGAGAUUCGAGAUAUUUGGGCAGAGUAUUUUAUAUGUAAUGUUGAACUUUAGAUUUACACUUAGCGCAUGUUGGACUCUUGUUUUUGAUUAUAGGCUUGACAUGAAUGAUUUUGGUUGAUUGGUGUUGGGAUGAUGAGUAUAAUGUCUGUGAUAUUGAGAUGUAAAUUAUUGGACAGGUUGUUAAUAUAAUGUCGUCAUUCCCAAUUUUA